CCUACGGGAGGCAGCAGUAGGGAAUCUUCCACAAUGGGCGAAAGCCUGAUGCAGCAACGCCGCGUGGGUGAAGAAGGUCUUCGGAUCGUAAAACCCUGUUUUUAGAGAAGAAAGUGCGUGCGAGUAACUGUUCACGUUUCGACGGUAUCUAACCAGAAAGCCACGGCUAACUACGUGCCAGCAGCCGCGGUAAUACGGAGGUGGCAAGCGUUAUCCGGAUUUAUUGGGCGUAAAGGGAACGCAGGCGGUCUUUUAAGUCUGAUGUGAAAGCCGUCGGCUUAACCGGAGUAGUGCAUUAGAAACUGGGAGACUUGAGUGCAGAAGAGGAUAGUGGAAAUCCAGGUGUAGCGGUGAAAUGCGUAGAAAUAUGGAAGAACACCAGUGGCGAAAGCGGCUCUAUGGUCUGUAACUGACGCUGAGGUUCGAAAGCGGGGGUAGCAAACAGGAGUAGAUACCCCAGUAGUC
rnacentral:rRNA from 1 species